rnacentral:lncRNA from 1 species
AAAAGUCUUUGGAGGAAAACCCAGGUUCGGCCGCCGAAAGUCAAGUUCGGCCGCCGAACAUGCAUGCGUUUUGGAGGCACGUUAGGCCUCCGAAAGCAUGAGUGAGGGAAGUCCAGGUUCGGCCGCCGAACCUCAUGUUCGGCCGCCGAACCUUGCAUGCAUGCGGAGGCACAUUCGGCCCCCGAACGUGGUUUGGCCAGCCACUAUAAAAGGGUCCCUUAGCCGAAAACGGGCGAGUUUUUCCCCACUUUCGGCCAAGGUGAGCUUUCCGCCGCCCCUCACCCAUUUUUGAUGUUCUUCCUCUAAAUCUUUCAAGAUUUUCACUUGUUUUCCCUUGGUUUUGAAGAUUUAAGCUUUUGAAACAAGUUUUGGAGCUUGGAAGUCUUGGAGCUAAAUCCCUCCAUUUUCCGAGCUAGGGUCGUUCUUCCUCUCGAUCUUCAAGAGGUAAGCUUCGAUCUAUGCUUCUUUUAUGUUUUAUGAAAGUUUUAUGCAAGUUGAUGGGGUAGUAUGCAUGUUUAGGCUUGUUGUUAGGUUUAUGUUGUGUUUUGAACAAUGUAUGUUUGAAGUGUUGUAGUUGGGGUAUAUAAUAGUUUGAGACCCCUAGAUGUGAUGUAUGAUGUGUAUGCAUGUGUAGAAACAAGUUUAUGCAUGUUUUGAGGCGUUUUGGAGGCUAUGGACACAAGGGAGCCAAGUUUCUGCCCUUCGGCAGAAACUCAGGUUCGGCCGCCGAAGUGACUUUCGGCCGCCGAACCCCCUUGUGGAGGCAGUUUCGGCUGCCGAAGCCUGCCCCCGAAACUCAAGUUUCGUCUCUGUCUGGGAGGUUCGGCCGCCGAAAGUGCCACCGAACCUGCAUGACUUUCGGCUGCAGAGGGACUUUCGGCCGCUGAACCUGCCGCCGAAAGUGCCCUGUUCAGCCGUUUCUCGCAUGUUUUCAUGUGAUGUUUUCAGGAUGUUUUAGGGGGUUUUUGGGGAGUAUUUUAGAGUCAUGUUCAUGUAUGUUUAGUCCCUCAUUUGAGUCCACCUGUGUAGGUUCGGACCCGAGGAACCGAGACCCCCAGCAGUGAGCCAGCUGCUUCAGAGUCUCUUCAGAGCUAGCCAGAGGUGAGUGGAAUAAACUUUAAGUUUUAAAGCAAAUUAAUGAGAUGUUUUAGCAUGAUUCACGCAUCAUGAAUGCCAUGAGAUAUAUUAGGUUGCUUACAUUAGAAUUCACGAAUAUGUUGCAUUGCAUACUUUGUUGUUGAUGUGGAUGAAUGUUGAAUGAUCCAUUAGCCCUUGUAUGUCAUGAUAGCCAUGUGAGUCCAGGUGUGCCUGCUACGGCUCUACGCCCCUGGCACUAUGACGGAUUAUGGAAGUCCGGGUGUGCCUGCUACGGCUCUACGNNNNNNNNNNNNNNNNNNNNNNNNNNNNNNNNNNNNNNNNNNNNNNNNNNNNNNNNNNNNNNNNNNNNNNNNNNNNNNNNNNNNNNNNNNNNNNNNNNNNNNNNNNNNNNNNNNNNNNNNNNNNNNNNNNNNNNNNNNNNNNNNNNNNNNNNNNNNNNNNNNNNNNNNNNNNNNNNNNNNNNNNNNNNNNNNNNNNNNNNNNNNNNNNNNNNNNNNNNNNNNNNNNNNNNNNNNNNNNNNNNNNNNNNNNNNNNNNNNNNNNNNNNNNNNNNNNNNNNNNNNNNNNNNNNNNNNNNNNNNNNNNNNNNNNNNNNNNNNNNNNNNNNNNNNNNNNNNNNNNNNNNNNNNNNNNNNNNNNNNNNNNNNNNNNNNNNNNNNNNNNNNNNNNNNNNNNNNNNNNNNNNNNNNNNNNNNNNNNNNNNNNNNNNNNNUAGAGGUGUGUGAAUCCCCAUUAUGUACAGAGUGUUUAAUGAGUAAUGAUGUUAAUGACCAUGAUUAUCCAAGCUGAUAUGUAUGAUGAUGAUACCCCAUUGGAGUAUUUGAUGAGGACUCCAGUGUGGGGUUUAUGUACGAUUUUGUGCAUGCACAGGUUUUGCUUGGAUAAGAGAAAAGAAAAUUUUUUACAGAUCAUGUAUAUGUUGUUAUGUAUGGGAUUCCACAGGUUUACAGGAGGUAUGUAGGCUUGCUACGGGUCCCGGCGGCCUUAUGCCGAUCUGGAUCCUAGUGCCGGUAACGGGUCGGAUUUCCGGGUCGUUACACCAACAUCCUGACCAGAACUGAGUUAUACAUUCUAUGGUGCAUGCACACACACAGGAAGAUCCAUCUUGGAUAUUGGGUUGCCACCCAACUGUCCAGCAUCAUGCAGUAUAACAGGCCCUUGAUUUUUGGCCUUUUGAUCACUGCCAUUGCAGUGAAUCUCAAAUUAUUGCACCCAGCACAUACUGAUCUCUCCCCCACCCCCAAAACAACUCCCUUAGACCUUCGCACAUUAGAUGACAUGGGGUUGCUUUGCAAAGUGGGGGAUAUUUUUUCCAUUGCACCUGCAGGUCCCGUAACACCACGCCAUGAGCGUAUUUUCAGAAGGAAGAAAGCCAACAAACUCACCACAGCCCAGCAGACAGCCUCCACAGAUGCCCUAGCAGGUGGGACAACAGGGGAAAUAGGGCAGGAACCAGCAGAGACAGCAACCCCAGCAGCCCCCCAGCAGGAUGCCCAUCAGCCACCUGAAGACGAAGCUCCCAACCAGACAGUAGAGGCUCGUCUCAGUAGAAUUGAGGACCGAAUGCACAUGAUGGAGCACUUGUUGGACCUGCUGGUAGACCAUUUUCUACCUCCACACCGUGGCAGACAGUGAUUUGCCCAGUGAUUUGCCCAAAUCACUAGCCAAAUCACCCACAGGCCAGGAAGUCCCUUUCCCUUUCCUUCUUAAAUCUUUUAUAUAUAUGCUUACACAUUGAGGACAAUGUUUGCAAUAGGUGUGGGGGUGUUUGGAGAACAUUUUGCACAAUCUUCACCAUGUUUAGUUUUCUUUUACAUUCUUUUUGUUUCUUUUUGCAUUAGUUUUACCUCUUUCACACACCAGAAAAUUUUUUCUUCCACAUAUAUGCACACACAUAUAGAAUUUUAUUUUUAAGCCUAUUGCUCUACUCAGCAUAGAUGACUAAGUCAAAGGAGCUUCUUACCUCAUGACCCCAUUAAAUUAUCCAACCCUUUAAACCUAAAUUGAAUCAUGCACAGUGUGUAGCCUUUACUUAGGAAGUUUUUUUUCUUAAAUUGAGUUCUUGAAACUGUUGUGGCCAAUAGGAAAGGAAAAUAAAAUACAUGCAAUAAAAAGUUAGUGUAAUUCUCUUUGAGUUGAUUUGCCCAAAUUGUUAUAAAAAGGAAAAAGAAAAAGAAAAACUCAGCAAAUCAAAAAGCACAAAACACAUUCUGUUCCUAUGAUCUAAGGCUAUGAACUGAGCUAAUAGUCACUUGGACAAGUGACCAACUGAGUAACCGGAGGUGUAUUACCCAUGUGCACUGUCGCGUAAAAAGGUUGGUGACUUUUUCAAGCAUAAAAAUAAAGUUUCGAUGGUCUAAGAUUAUGAACAGAGCUAGUAGCCACUUGGACAAGUGACCAACUGAGUAACCGGGGGUGUAUCACCCAUAUGUACCAUCGUGUAAAAAGGUUGGUGAUUUUUUCAGGCAAGGGUAAAAAGUGCUGGUAAUUAAAAAUGCUUAAAAUAGGGCAAAUCACUCUUAAGGGAUUGCAUUAAACCUAAUAUAAAAGAAUAAGCAUGAUCAAAUCAAAAACUUUCACUUGGCCAUGGUGAGUGAUAGGAAACAAGGAAAGAAGGGGACAACCUUAGUACAUGCAUCCUACACUGUAGUGUUUCAAAUUAGGAGUCUAGGGGGGCUGAUUAAGUGGUAUUUAGGCUCAAAAGAAAAGGGGGGGCUUGAUUAGCUAAGUUAUUUGUUGCUUGAGGACAAGCAAAAGGUUAGGUGUGAGGGUAUUUGAUCAAGCAUAAUUUAGCCACAUUUUUAUUAUAUUUAUUAUUGUUUAUUUACACAUUUUUCUAGCUUAAUUUGUGUUUUUGUUAUAUUUUUACAGAAAAGGAAGAAAUUGGAAAGUUGGAGAAAAAGUGAAGAAAAAGCUGGAAAAGUGAUUGGGUCAAAGUGAUUUGCCCAAAUCACUCGCAGAAACUGGCCAAAUCACUCGCAGAGACAGAGACAGAAACUGGACUGAAUCUCAGAGAGCGAUUGGGGCAGAUUGGGCAAGUGAUUUGCCCAAAUCACUCGCAGAAACUGUCCAAAUCACCUUGACAGCAGAAAUUGACAGCAGAGGCGGGAAAACAGUAGGGAACCAAAUUUUAAAUUUUCAGAAGUCCAAAUCCAACUCAAUCACUACCAACACAAUUCCAAGAGCCACGAAAGAGUUUCUCACCUAAGGAAUUCCAGUUGCAAUUGAAUUCAACAUCAAAAGAGGAAUCACAAGCCAAAUUAAAAAGGGAUUUCAAAAUCCUAGAAGGAUGGAAUUCUUCAGCUAUAAAAGGGCAGCCUCCAAACCAGCAAGAGGCAUCUUCUGAUCAGCUACUCAGCAUCUUCUCCCUUCGCCAGAAACUCUGCAGCUUCUUUCUUUCCUUUCUUUUCAUCUUUUGUGUAUUUAGUCCACCAUGAGUGGCUAAUCUCCUUCUUUUCUAGUUGAAGUUGGUGAAUUUCAGAUUUUGUGAUGAAUUGGGAGAUUUAAAUCUCCAUUGUUAAACUUCUAUUUAUUUUCAAUAUUUAUGCAAUUUGAUAUUUCCAUAAUUGUUGCUUUGCUUUUAGAAUCAAUAAGGGCCCAUUGCUUUUAAAUUGCUUAAGUAACAAAUUGUUUGAAUGAUUUAAGUCCGUAAUUGCUUAUAUUAUUUGAACACAAAUUUAAUCAAGUUGCAUGAUCUAAACUUGGCCACGCGGUUGGCAAGGUUAGAAUUAGGUUUCUCUAAGUCUUAAUGCAGUUAACAGUUGUUUGAUGCCAAAGGCCCUAAGGACAUUCAUUGGCAAAUUGUUAACUAGUGUUUGAUUAGCGAACGUUUUCUAAUCAAACUAGAAUUAAGGAGGAAUUUGGAUUGUGAGAAGCGUCUUUCACAUCCUAAACUAAUUUAUUGAGAUAAAUAGGAGUAUUAAAAAAUCAAUGAUCAAUUCUAAACAAUCUGAAAUAGAUCCAUACUUCAACUAGAAGCUUUUCUCUUAUUGAUUUACUCAAACUUUAAAUUAUUGCUUUCUUUUGCUAUUUAAUUUUAAUCAUCAAAUCAAAACCCCCCUCUUUUAUUUACUUGCUAUUUACCUAGUCAUUAUCAGGAAAGUCUUUGGUGUCAAUUCCCUGUGGUUCGACCCUAUUGCCAUUAUCUACAAGUUUAUUGUUGAUUGUCUAAUAGGUUUAUUUUUGACAGUUUCGACAACUGCUAUCACAAAGGUAUCAAAAGGAACAAGAAAAGGACUAUGGUCUGGACGAUGCCUCGCACCUAUUAAAUAAAACUCAUUAGUUAGUUUCUUAAUUUUAAAAAAUAUAUUAAACAUUCAAGAUAUUUUUAAAAAUCUAUUCAUUAGUCAUUCAUUAGUUUUAGAUAUUAUGUAUUUUACUAUUUAGUUCAUGUAGUUUAAAAAAUUCUAUUAAUUAGUCUUUAAUUUUGUAAAAAUUCAAUUAAUUAAUCCCUCAUAUUGAGGACAUUUUAAAUUUUUUAUUUUAUAAUAUUUAAUGGCUAAAAUUAAUGUAUGAAUUAAUUAGUAGAGUUUUUAAAAUAUCAAAAAUGUUUCAAUAUAUUUUUCAAAAUUAAGGGAUUAAUUAUAAGUUUUCUUAUAAUAUAGAGACUAAAUAAUAAUUUAAAAAAAUUAUUACUUAGUCCUUAUGGUAUGAAAAAACUCACUAGUUAGUUUCUCGAUUUUGAAAAAUAAUUUAAAAUGUCCCUAAUGUUUUAAAAAAUAUACUAGUUAGUCCCUCAAUUAAUUUUACUGUUAAGUAUUUUACUAUUUAGUCCCUAUAGUUUUGAAAAAUUUAUUAAUUGGUUCUUUAGAUUUUUCAAAAAUUUAUUAAUUAGUCCCUCCAUAUUAUAGGCAUUUUAGAAUUUUUUGCAAUACUUAACGGCUAAAACUAAUGGAGAGAUUAAGUGGUAGACUUUUUGAAAUGUUACUAAUAUUUUAGUGCAUUUUUCAAACUAAAAGACUAACUAGUAAAUUGCUUUAUACUAUGGGGACUAAAUAAUAAUUUUUUAAAUAAUUUUCUCAAUAUAAUUUAUAAGAUUAUGUUCAAAAUAUAGGAGAUAGAAAAAAAAUAUUAUUAAAAAUAUAUAAUUGAACUAUAAUAUCACUAAAAUUAUUAAAAUAUAUAUAAAAUUGAUUUUUUCGAUAUAAUUCUGAUUCGCUUUUGGCGCUAUUCUUGAUAAAGAACUAGAAUUAUAAUCAAAUAGCCAAAUAACUUCAGUUUUAUUUCUACAAUAUAUUGUUCAGUUCUAGUAUGAUUUAAUAUGUUUUUUAGUUUGAUUCAGAACCAUCAAAAACCAAGCACAAUAAAAAUAAUAUUUUAACUUUCAUACAUGGAAACUUGAAAAACUAUUACAUAAAACUAUUGUAUGUAUAAUAUUAUAGUUAUUAAUUAAUCAUGGUGGAUCUUAUGGAAGUCCACUAAUCAUUAUAUAUACAACGGUCGUAUGAUAAAGUUUCUUUUGAAAUUGGCUCAAUUAUUAAUGAUACAACUCUUUUCUUAGAAUUGGUAUCAGGAGCUCCAUGUCCAUCUCCAUGCUGGUAUACACAUUGAGAAAUCCUAGCAAGAUUAAUAGAUGCUUCAAUGAAAAGCUUCGUGAAAGAAUUCACCUCCGUUUGAUUAUAUUGAUUCAUCUUCUUCCAAGCAUUAUCUAUCAUUUUAUUUAUUUCUUUACGUGCAUACUCCUCUGAAACUCCAUGUUCAUCCAUAUAGCAGGAAAUUGAAUUUAUCGUUUCACCUCUAUCUAACUCACCCUGGAAAAUCACAACAUAAAGAAUCAAUUAUUUAUUCUAAAAAAAUUUAGAAAGAAUUAUUAUCAAAUCCCUGAAUUUUUAAGAAAUUCACUAAUUCAUUCUCCUUUUAAAAUCAUUUAAUUAAAACAUCUAUGUAUUUUGCAAAAUCGAACUCUUUAAUCCUUCGGAGAAAAAACUGCUAGUCAAUUUAUUUUAACUUUUGCUAGAAGGAAUAAAUAAUAUGAAUAUUUAAAAUUAUAGAGAUUAAACCAUAUGUAUAGUUAAAAUUAUAGGGACUAAACAAUAUAAAUGUUCAAGUCCAAAAUAACUAAAGAGUUGAAUUUUACAAAAUAUAGGGAUAUGUUAAUCGAGUGAAUUUCAAAUAAGAUAAAUUAAUAAAUUUUUUAAAAAUUCAAGGAAUUAAUAGUAAUUCCAUCUAAAAAAUUAGACUAUCAGUAUAAUUACGUAAUAUGAGAUUAAUGCACGUACCGAUGAAGUUGCCAAAUCAUUGCAAAGUCGAAAAACAACAGAUGGCCAUUUCAAUAUAUGAUGGUGGUUUACUAAUGAAUCGAGACCUUGUUUUAAGAUUUUUUGGUCGAGUAAAAGAUAGGCAUGCAUAAGUAUAACGGUUCCUGAUACGGAUCUCCAUCCAUUUUCAAUAUAUUCAUUAAAUGAUGGUGUCAAUUUUUUGUGUCUCCACUUUGCUUCUUGCAAGAAUGCUUUGCAUAAAUCAGCCCACUGAAAUUUAAAAAGUAUUUAUAUUGUCAAUUUCUACUCAAACCAAAUUCAACGAAUAAAAAAAAUAUUUAUCUAUAUUAUAAAAAGAUGAAAUUCUAAUUUAGAUUUGAUAUUGAAAAAAAUUUACUAUUUCGUUUUUAUGAUAUAAAAAAAAAUUAUUAAUUGAUUUUUGGUUUUGAUAAAUACAUUAAAACGUUCCUAAGAUUUUAAAAACUCUAUUUAUUAGUCCUUCCAUUAAUUUUAACUAUUAAGUAUCACAAAAAAAUUUAAAAUACUUUAAUAUUUUUUUUAAAUUCUCAGUGAUAUUUUAAUUUAUUUUUUAAAAUUAAAGGACCAACUAUUAAUGAGUUUUCCUAUACUACAGGAAUUAAAUAGUAAAUAUUUAAUUACUAAAACUAAUAGAGGAAUAAUUAGCAAAUUUUUUAAAAUUUUAAGUAUAUUUAAUAUAUUUUUUUAAAUUAAUAAACUAACUAAUGAGUUUUUCAAUAUUAUAAGAACUAAAUUAAUAAUUUUUCUUUGAUUUACUAUAAAAAAAUUCAACAAACAAAAAGUGGGAUACAUAUAUGUGGAUAUAAAUUCUUCAUCUUUAUAUCUUGAAUUUAUAAUGAAUCUUAUCUAAAUAAAAAUAAAAAAUAAAAACUUACUGAUUUUUUUAGAUAUGGAUGGACGAAUUCUCCAUGUUUUGCUAGAGUAUCAUAAGUCAUCUCAUUGACAGUAUUGUAUAAAGCUAAGAAACAUAGCUUCAUAUAUUCUGGAAGAUCUUUCACUGCAUCGAUAUCCCAUCUGGUAUGAAAUAAGUAGUAAUUAGCAUUUUAAAUUAAUACAAGAAAUGCUACAUAUUUCAUCUCUAAUACCCAACGUCAAAAUCCGCCUCAUUAAACUGAAAAUGUAAAUAAAAGCUAACUCGCAAGUCAUAUAUAAUAUUAUAAAAAUAUAUUUAAGACUGCGAUAGUAAAUUAUUGAAUUAAUAGCAAGAUAUUGAGAAUUAUUGCAUUUGUCUUUAUUAUUACGCAGAUAUUUUUUUUUUUUCAUAAGAAAUAAAAAUGCAAUUAAAAUUAUUAUCUCAUUAAAACAAAUUAUUUAUUAAAAAAAAUAUUAUAAAUGAGAUGAAAAUACCUUUCAACAACAUCCGUAAACAACUCCAAUUCAUCCAAUGUACCAUAAACAUCAUACACAUCAUCAAUAAUGGUUAUAAAUGAUCCGACUUUUGUUAGCCCUUUACGGCAAGAACUAAACUGAGGUUCAAACUCUAUUCCAACUGUCCAAAAGAAGCAUUCCAUCAGCCUAUCUCUACUGAAGGUUAAUUUGCCUGCAAGUCCCAAAUUGUUCCACCACCUAAUUCCAAAGAUAAAAUUAAGUGAAAUUACUUGAGAAAUUUACAUUGCAAACCAAAUAAACUUUUACAGCUAGCUUUUAGACAUACCUUGACAUUUCUUUAAGAUCUCUUUGGAGUAUAGAUUGAACCAUGUUGAAAUUAAUCUUUGCGAGUUGAAGCAAGGAAUGAUUUGCAUUCUUCCUCUUAUUGUAUGCUUCGAUAUACCAACGUGCUUUCAACAUAACCAUUCUUCUAUACAAUGGAAGCUCCAGUGCGUGACUAAUACUAAUUUCCAUUGUAGAAUUAUCCAACUCUGAAAGAUUUCCUUUCUGAAGAGUAUUGAUGAGAUGUGUUCUAGUUUGUGCCAUCGCCUCAUCUAAAAGAUCUUCUCCUUCAAAGCCCAAAGAUGAAGCUUCAUACAAACUUAGCAUUCCUUUAACAUCCUUCUUGUAGAUUGCCAGAAGAUUAUCCUUAUCGUCCAUGAAAUUUUUGAACUCAUCUACACGUGUCAAGUAAAACAAUCUUUAAUUUCUCCGUAUUAGAGGGUAUUUUAGACUUUUUUGCAAUACAUAACAACUAAAACUACCAGACUAACUAGUAGACUUUUUAAAAUGUCAGGAAUGUUCUAAUGAAUUUUUUAAAAAUUGAGGAAUCAACUAGUGAGUUUCUCUCUACUAUAAAGACUAAAUAGUAAUUCUCCCAAACAAUAAUGAUACCUUGAGAAACCUCGUAACCAUGUUGUCUAAGAAGCCUGAACAUGAGAGAAGUAGCAUGAAGAGAUUUCUGAGUCCACAAAUUACGUCCUUCUGAAUCCACAAAUCUAUCAAGAACUCUCUUUAUGUCCUUCUCAAAGCGGAAUGCUAAUCCCAAACGUUGGAUGUCAUCAAUCAGUUCAAGAAUGGUUAAGAAAUCCUCAUUUUCACUAUAAAUUGCUGCUCUUGUUUCCUCCUCCAACUUCCUUGCUUUGUCUUUGUACAGCAAGUCCUGAAUUAAACGUACACAUUCCAAGCUUAAUUGCAAGAAAAUGUUCAUCAGCAACAAUAAGACUAAUAUACAGAAAAUAGAUAAUAGUACUCACUGCAUUUUCAUUCUUUAAGGACUGUAUAAAGCUGUGACUCCAAACAGUAGGUUGGUAAUUGGAAGAUUGUCUUUGAUUUUGAGAAUAAGUUUUCUGAGAUUGAGUUUUCUGAGCCUUCACUGAGAGAUUGGUGGCCAUUUCUUUAGACAAUAUUAUGAAAUAUGGUUCGAGGAUAUGAGGAAUCUUCAUACGGCCUUGCUUAAAUAGACACUUGGUUUAGUGCCUUGUUCAAAUUAUUGUACUGUCAUAUAAACGCGAGUUCACUUUCAUGCACGUUUUUAUACAGUGCAAAAUGUCAUGUUCAUUGAACCUUCAUCUUGUACUAAUUAUGUUCCUGAUCUACGAAACGCUAUAUAUAGGACAAAAAAUUAUAUUAUUAUGGUUAGAGUGAGCAGUAUUCGAUUCAAAUCAAAAAAAUUGAUCAAACUGAAUUAAUUUAAAAAUUCAGUUUGAUUUUUUAUUUAUUUUAGUUCAGUUUGGUUUUUAAUUUUAGAAAUUUCGGUUAUUUCAGUUUGGUUCAGUUUUUAUCAGAAAAAAAUCAAAAAAAUCGAACCGAACCGAUUAGUGAUAAUAAUAUAUAUUUUUCAAUAAUAUAAGAAAAUUAAAUCAUAUUAAGAUUAAAAUAUUUUAAUUAAAUUUUAAAAUAUUAAAAAUAAAGUGUAAAAAAUAAAAAAAUUUAUUAAAAAUCAAAACUGAUCAAAUCGAACCUAAUCAAUCUGAAUUAGACCGAUUAAGUUCGAUUCGGUUUUUGACCAAAAUCGAUUUGAUUUGGUUUUUAUAAAUACUAAAAUUUUAAUUUUUAAUUUAUUCGAUUCGAUUCGAUUUUAAACCAAAUUUACACCCCUAAUUACAGUGUGAUUUUAUGUAGUAAAUUUUAUAUAGAAUGAUAAAUCAAUUGAAAUACUAAUAUUUCAGUGAUUUUGGAUUCUAUAAAUAUGGAAGUCGACUAAAAAAAAUAUCAAAUAAUUUUAUUUUUAUAAUUAAAUAGGUUUACAUGUUAAUUUUUUAUUGGCCUAUCAUUUCAUAUAUUUGUCUUACAUAAAUUCACGAUGUAUCGAAUAAUUAGUCCAAAUCAUGUGGGAUAAUUUUUUGCAUAUAUUGUAUAUCCAUUUUUACGGUAUACUCAAAAUAAUUCAUACCAUACGAAAAUUUUGCCUAUUAGAAAUAAUUUAGAAAAAAGGCGUUGAAGUGGACGAAGGUUGUUGAAAUAGGUCGAGUUUUGGCAUAAAGUUUCUGUUAAUAAGUAUAGCGCAAUAUAUUUUCAUUACGCAUGUAAUCGCAGGAUUACCGACCUAUUAGCUGGCGAGAUCCCUUAUCAAGUAGUCACUUACAUCAUCGCUGAAUUAUUAGAAAAUGUCAUAUUUAUCUCAAUAUUUUUAUAGUAUAAAAGGAGAACGAUCACAGAGGCAAAUGUACACAAUUCUCUUACACAACUAUUCUCAAGUUUUAUGUUCGGCCCAUUCUCUAGUUUACUGACUUGAGCGUCGAAGUGGCUGCCAUGGGCACCCACCAACUCACGUUCUCCUUUUUGCAGGUUUAGUCAAUCACAACAUAACUCUGUUUUUCGACCGUAUCAUUUGGUUCAAUUUCUGAGAAAUCCAUUGAAUUCUUUCUGAUUCAUUUGGGUUACAUGUCAUUGUAGGAGGACCUGACAAGGGCAAAGGGAAAAAUAAAUACGUAGUAGAAGAUGUCCUAUUAAUUGAACAGGAGCCAUAGGCUAAGCAGGAAGUAAGGUUUGGUCUUGCAGACAAAGCGAUUGAAUUCUUUCAAAAUGAUCCGCUGGUUGUCAAGUUCUUUCUAAAUAAGUAUGAAGUAAGGCGAGUAUUGGUGGAUAUAGUUAGUUCUGUUAAACUUCUCAUCUUAAAUGUUUUUAAAAAGUUAGGCUUCGAUAAAAGUAGUCUUGUCAUAGUUUUCUAUUCGUUAGUAGGAUUAGGAGAUAAGACAGUGGCAGUACUGGACACCAUUAACCUCCCUCUAGUGUUGGGCGACAAAAAAUAUAGGCGAGAGUUGUAUGCAGAGUUUACAGUGGUAGAUAUCCCAUUUGCAUACAAUAUGAUACUUGGCCAUCCAGUUAUAAACUACCACGGUAUUGUUAUUAAUAUAGAUGUUAUGUGUUUUAAGUUACCAGCUCUAGGGGGAUAGCUGUGGUUUGAGGUAACCUGAGAUUGGCCAAAGAAUGUUACGGACACCCCGCAAAAAGUCUCUGGAAAGUAUUAAUGUCCAUCAACUUGAUAGAGAAGCCAGAGCCAACAAACCCAAUAGAAGAGAUUCAGUUAGAUAAGGAUCAAAAGGUAUGGUUCAGUACUGCGUUAACCGCCGAAAUAAAGGCUCGUUUAAUAGAUUUGCUAAAGUGUCGAGUAACCACUUUCACUUGGUCUCCAAAAGAUGUAACAGGAUUGGACCCGACUCUCAUCACUUAUAAGCUGUCUAUUAACAAAUCUGUCAAGCUGGUCCAACAAAAGAAAAGGAGGUUCACCCUAGGAGACAACAGGUAAUCAAAGAGGAAGUUGACAAGCUAUUAAGUGCAGGAUUAAUAAAGGAAGUCCAGUAUCCCACAUGGCUCACCAAUGUGGUACUGGUGAAGAAGGCUAACGACAAAUGGAGAAUGUGCAUGGAUUUUACUGACCUGAAUAAAGCGUGUCUGAAAGAUCAUUACUCGUUACUGUCUGUCGACAAGUUAGUAGACUCGACCUCGGGUCACGCAAUGAUUUCCUACUAUAAGGUGAUACCAUUUGGAUUAAAGAAAGCCAAAGGUAACUGGCCCAAAGAAUUGCCUCACAUAGUAUAGGUAUACAGGAUAACCCCGAGGAUAGCCAUAGGAGAAAUGCCCUUUUCUCUUGUAUAUGGGGCCAAUGCAGUCAUCCCCAUGGAAAUCCAAGUAAGUAACUUUAGGAUACAACAUUCUGAGAUUUCAGGGAAUCUCAAAGAAAUGCAAUCCAAUUUGGAUCAAGCCAAAUUCCUACAAGAAAAGGUCGCAAUCAGAAUGGCGACUUACAGAAACAAAAUGUCUAGAAAGUUCAAUAGUAAGAUCAGGCCGCGUGCUUUUAAUGUGGGGGGCUUAGUCCUUAAAAGAACAAAUGUAACAAGCGGUAGUGUCAGGUCUAGUAAGUUGGGCGAGAAAUGGAAAGGACCGUUUAGUGUCUCAAAGGUCAUUCGCCCAGGGUCCUAUAAGUUGGCCAAGCUAAAUGGUUGAGUCAAUCACCAUUCCUGGAAUAUCUAUAUUAUGAGAAAAUUUAUCAAUAACAAGUUAACGAGGAAUUUUUUUAUAUGUUGUGCUGAAAUGUCCCACAUCAUUAAAGUGCGAAAAAAAUAAAAGUAUACAUAAUAACUAGCACGAAACUACUAAAUAACUUGGGUUAACCAUUUUGUGCCAAGUUGAAAAUGGGUCCAAAAGUUAUUUGGGUCAGUUUGGGCUGGGUUGUUACAAUUGGUAUCAGAGCACCCUGACUCAAAAAAAUUGAGCGGAGCUAGUGGGUUUGUAAGGAAAGGGCUAUCCGUUUGAGACGAGAUGGAGCCGCUCGAGACACUAGCGAACCACAAUAUUCAAGGGUUCGAUCCUAACUUAACAAUUGUAUCCAAUUCAAUUGCAACGAGGACGUUGCAAAAUUUAGAGGGGGAGAUGAAACGUCCCACAUUGUUAAAGUACGAAAAAAAUAAAAUUAUAUAUAAUAACUAGCACGAAACUAUUAAAUAACUUGGGUUAACCAUUUUGGGUCAAGUGAAAAAUAAGUCCAAAAGUUAUUUGGGUCAGUUUGGACUGGACUAUUACGUGUACUCUUCAGUGAUAAGAAACGAUAUGAUUGCCUUCCUAAAAAAAAUUAAGGAAACAAGAAGAGACUAUAAGGUGGGUUUCGCUAGACCAGAUCAUAAGGCGGAUUCAACCACACCACAAUUCAAGUAUUGGUCCCACUAAACAUGGUCACAAGGCGGUUUUCACUAGACCAAAUCACAAGAUAGGUUCUACCAGACCACAAUUCGAGCAUCGAACCCACCAAUAAAGGCGAUAAGGUGAGUUUCACCAAGCCAAGUCACAAGGAGAGAUCAGCCAGACCACAAUCCGGGCAUUGGUCCACUAAACAAAGUCACAAGGCGGGUUUUCCCAGGCCAAGUCACAAGGUAGCUUCCCGCAGGCCACAAUUCUAGCAUUGGACCCACUAAUCAAGGCCACAAAGCGGAUUUCGCCAGGUCAGGUCAUAAGGCGGGUUCCGUCAGACCACAAUCCGGAUGUUAGUCCCACUCAAUAAGGCCAUAAGGCGAGUUUUGCUAGGCCAAGCCACAUGGUGAGUGUAAGCCAGGUCAGAAAAUCAGGUGUUAGUCCCACUAAUCAAAUCAUUCAUGCCAGUCCACAAUCUGGGUGUUAGUCUCACUCAAUAGAGCAUCUUGUGCUAGGCUAACGGGCGAGCAACAAAGUCAUUCAUGACAGGCGAACCUAGGGAUGCCAAUCCCUAAAAGACGAAGGUGUCAAUCAAAGGUUAAAGAUAAGGGGGCGAGUCUUAUGAUCCAAUCUCAAGACACGUGACCAGGUAUAAGUCCCAUAUUGCAAAAUUCCUCUAAGGCAUUCCAUGAUCAAAAGGUGGGAGUCUGCCAAGCCAGAUAUCCAGGUAUUGAUCCUAUUUUGUAAAAAUUCUUCAAAUUAUUUUAUGAUCGAUAAUUGGGUGUUAAGCCCUACUAAGUGAACCUGUACCAGCCCCCUUUCUUGGGCAAAAAACAGUGGUCACCAAGUUCUUAAUUGGUGAUAACCCCUUGAUCAAUUGCUAAAAGAUUAUUUAAGAUAUUAGUAGCGUGAGUACGGGACAAAAGUAGAUUAUGCAAAAGUAAAAAUAAUGAUGACAUAUGCAAAAUAUAUAUUAUCAUUUCAAAAGAUCACAGGGGAAGAGGAAGGUCUUCAGUUUUCUCCUCCCAAGAUUCCAUUACAUCAGUAUUUCCUACAUCUAUUACAUUAUGAACAAAGAUCCGGUCGGCGGGGUUUUCCUUUAGCUUGCCCCUCGCUCUCUUGCUUGACCUCAUCCUCCGAGAAGAUGUCGUCUAUCCAAGUAAAGCCUUAUGCAGGGGAUCAUGUCUCCGGUUGCCUUCUGGCUGACCUUCAAAAUCAAUCUUGCACAAUCCAACUCACUCCAAGAGUCUCAACAUUGGAAACCAUUAAAGAGGCUUACACCAUAGCCAGCACAAACCCCUUUAUAAGAUUAAUAUAGCCAGGCUGAUUUCAGUCCUCAAUCAAUAUCGUAAAUACCCAGUUCAUCAUCAAGAGUCCCCCUCCCCAAAUUAAGUCGAGUCUAGGCAUAAAAUUAUCGUUAACAAGUACAACCCAGUAUAUUCCCAUUACGCUUAUAAUUACGGUAUCACCGACCUAUUAGCUAGCGAGAUCCCUUAUUAAGCAGCUGGCGAGAUCCCUUAUUAAGCAGUCUGCGAUAUCAUUGCCGGAUUAUCAGAAAAUGCGAUAUUUAUCUCUAUUUUUUUACAGUAUAAAAGGAGAAUGAUUACAGAUGUAAAUGUGCACAAUUCUCUUUGUAAUACCCGGCUAGACUCUGGUAUCGGAAUUCCUACCGUCCGGUGGAAUCUCGAAUGUUGGAAGCCUUUAGUAGGGUAGAAACAUGUUUUCAUAAAAUGUUUUAAAGCAUUUCAUGGUUUUAAGUAUGAAAAUUAAAUGAGUUUUUGCAUGAAAAGUCUUUGGAGGAAAACCCAGGUUCGGCCGCCGAAAGUCAAGUUCGGCCGCCGAACAUGCAUGCGUUUUGGAGGCACGUUAGGCCCCCGAAAGCAUGAGUGAGGGAAGUUCAGGUUCGGCCGCCGAAAGUCAAGUUCGGCCGCCGAACAUGGCAUGCGUGCGGAGGCACUUUCGGCCCCCGAACGUGGUCUGGCCAGCCACUAUAAAAGGGGCACUUAGCCGAAAUGGGCGAGCUUUCUCCCAUUUUCGGCCACAGCUAGCUUCCGACCUCCCUCUUCCCAAUCUAGUGUUCUUCCUUCAAAUCCCCACCAUUUUUCUUAAGUUUUAAGCUUGCAUUGAAGAUUUUGAACUUUUGAAACAAGUUUUGGAGCUUUGGGAACCCAGGAGCUCAUUUUCGUGGAUCUCCAAGUUUAGGUCGUCUCCCUCUCGAUCUUCAAGAGGUAAGAGCCGAUCUUAAGCUCCUUAUAUGUUUUAAGUAAGUUUUAAGUUGUUUUAUGGGUAGAGAUGCAUGUUUAGGCUUGUUGAU